GAAGAAGAAGAACUGACCGGUGUGUUGGCGAAACCGUUACCAUUACUGAGUUUAGUAAUGGUAAGGGUUCUUCUAUCACGCCGACUUCCGCCGAAGCAAGAA
rnacentral:pre_miRNA from 11 species